UGCCCUGCAACUCCUAUCCCUACCUCCUCGCGGUACCGGCCGGAAACUAUGAGCAACCUUAGGGAAGAUCGGGUAACCAACCCCGGUGGGAACUUUGGUCGUAGGCUGACAGGGAAGG
rnacentral:ribozyme from 1 species